rnacentral:rRNA from 1 species
AUGGAGAUGAAACCCAAAAGAUUUUCGUUGGGGCGUAACCCUCUCAGCGACGCGCCACAUCGGAACCCGGGUGUGGUGGAAAAUGGGCAAGGGCCGGGCCGUCACCCCCCAAGUGGCGCGCCGUAUCUUGAUCCGGAUACGGUGGCAAGUGAGCGAGGAUCGGGUCGUCGCAUCCUUAGUGGCGCGCUACAUCGGCGCCCGGAUGUAGUGGAAAAUGAGCAAGGGUCUUUGCAUUUGACUCGACGAGUGCGAAGGGUAAGGAAGCUAGCCGAGCCUAGGAGGAUUCGCUUAGGUAGCUGGAACGUAGGGUCUCUGACAGGAAAGCUUCGGGAGCUAGUUGAUGCAGCAGUGAGGAGAGGUGUUGAUAUCCUUUGCGUCCAAGAAACCAAAUGGAGAGGACAGAAGGCGAAGGAGGUGGAGGAUACCGGCUUCAAGCUGUGGUACACGGGGACGGCUGCAAACAGAAAUGGCGUAGGCAUCUUGAUCAACAAGAGCCUCAAGUAUGGAGUGGUAGACGUCAGGAGACGUGGGGACCGGAUUAUCCUGGUCAAGCUGGUAGCUGAGGACUUGGUUCUCAAUGUUAUCAGCGCAUAUGCCCCGCAAGUAGGCCACAAUGAGAACACCAAGAGGGAGUUCUGGGAAGGCUUGGAAGACAUGGUUAGGAGUGUACCGAUUGGUGAGAAGCUCUUCAUAGGAGGAGACCUCAAUGGCCACGUGGGUACAUCUAACAUAGGUUUUGAAGGGGCGCAUGGGGGCUUUGGCUAUGGCAUCAGGAAUCAAGAAGGAGAAGAUGUCUUAAGCUUUGCUCUAGCCUACAACAUGAUUGUAGCUAACACCCUCUUUAGAAAGAGAGAAUCACAUCUGGUGACUUUUAGUAGUGGCCAACACUCUAGCCAGAUUGAUUUCAUCCUCUCGAGAAGAGAAGAUAGGCGUGCGUGCCUAGACUGUAAGGUGAUACCUGGGGAGAGUGUUGUAACCCAGCAUAAGCUGGUGGUUGCUGACUUCCGCUUUCGGAUUCGUGUCCAGCGGGAUAAGCGUGCCAAGGUCGCUAGAACGAAGUGGUGGAAGCUCAAGGGGGAGGUAGCUCAGGUGUUCAAGGAGAGGGUAUUUAAGGAGGGCCCUUGGGAGGAAGGAGGGGAUGCGGACAAUGUGUGGAUGAAGAUGGCGACUUGCAUUCGUAAGGUGGCCUCGGAGGAGUUUGGAGUGUCCAGGGGAAGGAGAAGCGAAGAUAAGGAUACCUGGUGGUGGAAUGAUGAUGUCCAGAAGGCGCUUAAAGAGAAGAAAGAUUGCUUCAGACGCCUAUACCUGGAUAGGAGUGCAGACAACAUAGAGAAGUACAAGAUGGCGAAGAAGGCCGCAAAGCGAGCUGUUGGUGAAGCAAGGGGUCGGGCAUAUGAGCACCUCUACCAACGGUUAGGCACGAAGGAAGGUGAAAGGGACAUCUAUAAGAUGGCUAAGAUCCGGGAGAGGAAGAUGAGGGAUAUUGGCCAAGUCAAAUGCAUCAAGGACGGAGCAGGCCAACUCUUGGUGAAGGACGAAGAGAUUAAGCAUAGAUGGCGGGAGUACUUCGACAAGCUGUUCAAUGGGGAGAAUGAGAGUUCUACCAUUGAACUGAAUGACUCCUUUCAUGAGACCAGCAUGCGUUUUGUGCGGCGCAUCCAGGAGUCUGAGGUGAAGGAGGCUUUAAAAAGGAUGAAAGGAGGCAAGGCGAUGGGCCCUGAUUGUAUCCCCAUUGAGGUGUGGAAAGGUCUCGGGGACAUAGCGAUAGUAUGGCUAACCAAGCUUUUCAACCUCAUUUUUCGGGCAAACAAGAUGCCAGAAGAAUGGAGAUGGAGUAUAUUAGUACCAAUCUUCAAGAACAAGGGGGAUGUUCAGAGUUGUACUAAUUACCAUGGAAUUAAGCUGAUGAGCCAUACAAUGAAGCUAUGGGAGAGAGUCAUUGAGCACCGCUUAAGAAGAAUGACAAGUGUGACCAAAAAUCAGUUUGGUUUCAUGCCUGGGAGGUCGACCAUGGAAGCCAUUUUCUUGGUACGACAACUUAUGGAGAGAUAUAGGGAGCAUAAGAAGGACUUGCAUAUGGUGUUCAUUGACUUGGAGAAGGCCUAUGAUAAGAUACCGCGGAAUGUCAUGUGGUGGGCCUUGGAGAAACACAAAGUCCCAGCAAAGUACAUUACCCUCAUCAAGGACAUGUACAAUAAUGUUGUGACAAGUGUUCGAACAAGUGAUGUCGACACCGAUGACUUCCCGAUUAAGAUAGGACUACAUCAGGGGUCAGCUUUGAGCCCUUAUCUUUUUGCAUUGGUGAUGGAUGAGGUCACAAGGGGUAUACAAGGAGAUAUCCCAUGGUGUAUGCUCUUUGCGGAUGAUGUGGUGCUAGUUGACGAUAGUCGGACGGGGGUAAAUAGGAAGUUAGAGUUAUGGAGACAAACCUUGGAAUCGAAAGGGUUUAGGCUUAGUAGAACUAAAACCGAGUACAUGAUGUGCGGUUUCAGUACUACUAGCUGUGAGGAGGAGGUUAGCCUUGAUGGCCAGGUGGUACCUCGGAAGGACACCUUUCGGUAUUUGGGGUCAAUGUUGCAGGAGGAUGGGGGUAUUGAUGAAGAUGUGAACCAUCGAAUCAAAGCCGGAUGGAUGAAGUGGCGCCAAGCUUCUGGCAUUCUCUGUGACAAGAGAGUGCCACAAAAGCUAAAAGGCAAGUUCUACAGGACGGCGGUUCGACCCGCAAUGUUGUAUGGCGCGGAGUGUUGGCCAACUAAAAGGCGACAUGUUCAACAGUUAGGUGUGGCGGAGAUGCGUAUGUUGAGAUGGAUGUGUGGCCACACGAGGAAGGAUCGAGUCCGGAAUGAUGAUAUACGAGAUAGAGUUGGGGUAGCACCAAUUGAGGAGAAGCUUGUCCAACAUCGUUUGAGAUGGUUUGGGCAUAUUCAGCGCAGGCCUCCAGAAGCUCCAGUGCAUAGCGGACGGCUAAAGCGUGCGGAGAAUGUCAAGAGAGGGCGGGGUCGACCGAUUUUGACAUGGGAGGAGUCCGUUAAGAGAGACCUGAAGGAUUGGAGUAUCGACAAAGAGCUAGCUAUGGACAGGGGUGCGUGGAAGCUUGCUAUCCAUGUGCCAGAGCCAUGA